UCCUUUUUUUUUUUUUUUUUUUUAAAGACCAAAGUGUAAGAAAACAUCGCUUUAAAAACCACUACCACUUACUGGAUGUUUACUAUGGCCAAGAAGUGUUUCAUCUGCAUGGGUGCAUGGUCACAGCCGUGAAGGUGGGACGUGAGGGUCCAGACGCACCUGCUUUACAAAGGAAGAAAUUGAAGUUCUCCUGUAGCUUUCUGGGUAGGCAGGAGCUCUACCACUGAGCUACACUCCCAGCCCCAAGUACUUCUACUGUGUCCCUAAAUUACCCAUUUAACAUCAUAGCCCCAAGUAAUUCAGGCACUCCCUUAGGAGGAAUCUGCUAUUUCAGACCUUUUGAAAGUUUAAUUGCUUUUAGUGAUGUUGAAUGUGUGUGUGUGUGUGUGUGUGUAUACAUAUACAUAUACUUUAUAUAUACAUGUAAAGUUACUGUCUGGGCUGAGCUCCCACAUUGGGCCAAGCAGACCAGACCAGUAGGGUCACUCUGUAACAUUCAAUAAUAUGGUACAAAAUUUCUCAGGAAAAAAUUAACAAGAGCUAAAUCCUCAAAAUGGAUGCUUUUAACUAGCAAGAUAAGUAAGCUCCAUGGAGUUGUCCCUAAGGGAAAGUGACCACAGUUACUUGACAGCCAGUUACUCUCAGCCCCUUUCUGCUUUCUUUUCCCUCUCUGCUGACAGACUCUCAGCUUACCAGGGUCUUACCUACAUUCUAGAAGAAACAUCUUCCCUCUUCAUGAGCCACAAUUAAGAAUCCUCCAGGGCCUUAACUAUAUGUGUGGCCCUCUGUCUCUUAAGUGCCCCCCACCCCAUGAAAAUAAGCACCCUCAGGCUGGCACCAACAUAACAUGCUGGCCAAGGGCUGGUCGUCAAUCUGCAGCCCUGGCAGACUUCAGUUCCUGGGCCUGACGUAGAGAUGAACUUUGUCUCACUCCAUGGCCAGGGCAGAAGCAGGCAAGGCCAGAUCAAUGGGUCUCUAGACUGCUUUGUAGCUGACUUCAAACAAGGUUUUCCCAAAGAACCUGGAAGGCUUUUCCCCAAGGGGCCUGAAGAAGGCUUAGAGCAGAGCAUCCUUGGGGUCCCGGUGCCCUGUCUUAGAUUAACAUCUAUCUCUCCACUGCUGAAUUUAAUCUUAUCUUAAGGGAGAAACAAAACAAAAAUACAAUUCACUCUUACCUUAAGUUUCAAAUCUUCUUUAGGCCUCCAGAAAUGAGAGAAUGGUAGGAGCCAUGGGGCUUGGUAGCAGGUGGUCCUUAGGGGACAGAGGUUAGGUGGAAGCUUGGGCUCACAGCAAGAGAGGGGUCAGGUUUUGCCUUCCCGAGAGGAGUGAUCCAAGUCUCUACCUGCAUGGACACAGGAAGUAAGGAAGUUGGGAUAGACCCUGAGUCCUCUUCCUGUCCUCUACCCACCUCCUGGGGGAUCUUUUAGACCUACAGAAGACAUCUGAUUCAGACCAAUUGUGACCAGGACUAGUGGAGAUUAUCACCCCCUAAUGGUCUCAUUAAGAUUAAGGAGAUACAGAAAGAAGUAUGUCAGUGAUCAGUGAUCUACACAGAGCCCCAAGGAUGCCAGUCUGUGACCCCUCACGUCCCACAGAAGGCCAGAAGGAUAGAACAGAAGGGCUGGAGAGGAAAGC
rnacentral:lncRNA from 1 species